CCUACGGGGGGCUGCAGUGGGGAAUAUUGGACAAUGGGCGAAAGCCUGAUCCAGCCAUGCUGCGUGUGUGAAGAAGGCCUUCGGGUUGUAAAGCACUUUCAGUGGGGAAGAAAGCCUUGGGGCUAAUACCCUCGAGGAAGGACAUCACCCACAGAAGAAGCACCGGCUAACUCCGUGCCAGCAGCCGCGGUAAUACGGAGGGUGCGAGCGUUAAUCGGAAUUACUGGGCGUAAAGCGCGCGUAGGCGGUCUGAUAAGCCGGUUGUGAAAGCCCCGGGCUCAACCUGGGAACGGCAUCCGGAACUGUCAGGCUAGAGUGCAGGAGAGGAAGGUAGAAUUCCCGGUGUAGCAGUGAAAUGCGUAGAGAUCGGGAGGAAUACCAGUGGCGAAGGCGGCCUUCUGGACUGACACUGACGCUGAGGUGCGAAAGCGUGGGUAGCAAACAGGAUUAGAUACCCGUGUAGUC
rnacentral:rRNA from 1 species